rnacentral:rRNA from 1 species
UACGUAGGGGGCAAGCGUUGUCCGGAAUCAUUGGGCGUAAAGCGCGUGUAGGCGGCUAGAUAAGUCUGCUCUGAAAGCCCGGGGCUCAACCCCGGGAGGCGGGUGGAUACUGUCUAGCUCGAGUCCGGAAGAGGAGUGUGGAAUUCCUGGUGUAGCGGUGAAAUGCGCAGACAUCAGGAGGAACACCAAUGGCGAAGGCAGCACUCUGGGACGUGACUGACGCUGAGACGCGAAAGCGUGGGGAGCAAACAGG